rnacentral:rRNA from 1 species
GACCUGUCUCAGUUCGGAUUGGAGUCUGCAACUCGACUCCAUGAAGCUGGAUUCGCUAGUAAUCGCGCAUCAGCCAUGGCGCGGUGAAUACGUUCCCGGGCCUUGUACACACCGCCCGUCAAGCCAUGGAAGCCGGGAGUGCCUGAAGUGUGCAACCGCAAGGAGCGCCCUAAGGUAAAACUGGUGACUGGGGCUAAGUCGUAACAAGGUACC